AUUUAAAUAAUUUAAAUAAAAAUAUUGAUUUGUGGAAUCAAAAAUAUGAAAAUUCAUUUUAAAUC
rnacentral:tRNA from 2 species